CACAGUUAUUAAAUAGUGGUGGUAAGGUGCAUCACUUGUCUUCUUUGUUUGCAUUUAACAUUUGUUUCUAACUAUGCCAACACCCUCUUGCAUCCUUCAUGUGUUGCCAGACUUUUGCUUUGCAGGGUGCAGUUCAGAGAAGAUAGCCGGUUCCGUACAUUUUAAAAGGGAAAGAAGAUAAUGUGAUUGCUAUCCUUCACAUUAAAUUUCUUGCUACUUAUUGCAUCAACUUGCAGACUUGUUUUUCCUUUCUUAUAGGAAAUGAGAAGAGAUGUGGUCCUUCCUUUUGUGUAACUCACUCAAUAAUUGAGAAGAUUUUUUUAGUACGGACAGCACCUCUUUCAUUUUUCUCUUGAAGAGCAACAUUCUCUAGAUUUUGGUUUUGUUUGGUACAAGGAAUAAUGAGGGAUAUCCCAGGAUCAAGAUUCACUUUAAUAAAUCUUGUGAUAUCCCACCGUAUUCCAUCCAGCUUGAGAUUAUUCUAUCCGACCUUCUAGAUAGGAUAGAUUAAUCUAGAGAUAUUAAUUGUAGGAUAAUUGAAUCUGCGUACCAAAUCAUAGGAUCCAAUUAGGAUAAUUAUACAACCAUUUCAUCUCUCAUGAUUUAAUUUGGAUAGGAUUUAUGGUUGCGUCAUAAAUAAAUUAUACUAACAAUUAUGUAUUCUAAAUUUCCCCCUUUUUCC